rnacentral:rRNA from 1 species
CUUUCUCCGCCGGCGACCGGCGCACGGGUGAGUAACACGUAUGCAACCUGCCCUUGUCAGGGGGACAACCCGCCGAAAGGCGGGCUAAACCCGCGUACAUGCCACCGGGGCAUCCCGGAGGCAGGAAAGGCUUCGGCCGGACAGGGAUGGGCAUGCGGCGCAUUAGGCAGUAGGCGGGGUAACGGCCCACCUAACCGACGAUGCGUAGGGGUUCUGAGAGGAAGGUCCCCCACACUGGUACUGAGACACGGACCAGACUCCUACGGGAGGCAGCAG